UUGAGUUUUGAAGUGGGCUUGAUGCUGGCGCCUUCACGGUGCAUGUGCUCAGCCCCGCUCUCAAAUCCACUUAACACCUGUGCACUUUCAAAGCUGUAGUCCUCCGUAAAGGGAGCCGCAUGUCAGUAAUGGCGUGCUGGGAUUGCACUUUGCCCCUUCAAUCACAAACUAUAUGCAUUGUCUUGUAGAAUGUAAUAGCCUCUUGUAGGCGAAACUUAAUA
rnacentral:misc_RNA from 1 species